UCUGAGGAGAAAAGGUGGGGAGCGUCAGCGCCAUUAGCAUGUCGGGGAGGGCUCGGCUUCAAUGGACAGUCCUGACUCUUAAGGUCCCUCUGCAGGGAUCUGUUGUGACGCAUUCAGACGUUUUCAGGCCAAAGUCAGAAGACUGCGUUCUUUGUGUGGCGGUCUAUGUGUAGCUUUCUGUUUUUAGCAUUCUGUGUUUAGCAUUCUAUGUGUAGCUUUCAGUUUUUGGCGUUCUGGGUUUAGCACCAUGUGUGUAGCGCUCCGUGUGUAGCUGUGUAGCUGUUAGAGUUCUGUGUGUAGCGCUCUGUGUAGCGCUGUGUGUGUAGCUGUGUAGCUGUUAGAGUUCUGUGUGUAGCAUGAGCUGUGUAGAGUGAGGUUUAGCAUUCCGUGUGUAGCAUAAUGUGUGUAGUGUACAGGUGUGUAGCGUGAGGUGUGUAGCGUCAUGUUUAUAGCCUGAGGUGUGUCGCGUGAGGUGUGUGGGUGUGUAGCUUGUGCAGCCUUCCGUGUGUAGCGGCAUGUUUAUAGCGUCCUGUGUGCAGCAUAAUAUGUGCAACAUGAGGUGUGUAGCGUUCCGUGUGUAGCGUCAGGUGUGUAGCGUUCUGUGUGUAGUUGUGCAGUGUUCUGUGUGUAGCGUUCUGUGGGCAGUUGUGUAGCGUUCUGUGUGUAGUUGUGCAGCGUUCUGUGUGUAGUUGUGUAGCGUUCUGUGUGUAGUUGUGUAGCG